ensembl:misc_RNA
AAUGUGCCCUUUCCUUCUUGACUUUUUAGCACUUUAUUUUGGGUAAAUAUUGAUUUGCCCCCGGUUUACCUUCUCUCUGGCCAUUUUGCAGACUAAGGAACUGGGCUCUGUAGGGACUUGAUUUUUGUGUUACUUUCUGGCCCUUUUGCUCCCCCUUCUUACCCCCAAGUGGCAUUGUAAAACUCACAGUGACAAAGAGACAGCGUAGGGUUCGAGGCCCCAGUUCCUGGGGACUUGAAGGCAGUUUUACAUACGGGUCAGACAUGGCUGGAGGCCAAGGUCAAGUUGAAAGUUGCAGUCUAGCCAGUGUGAGAACUGCCAUACAAGCCUGGAGACCCAGGCGGCUGCAAAGGCCCACGGCCAACCUCCCCACU